rnacentral:rRNA from 1 species
UACGGAGGAUGCGAGCGUUAUCCGGAUUUAUUGGGUUUAAAGGGUGCGCAGGCGGAUUUUUAAGUCAGCGGUCAAAUCGUGGGGCUCAACCCCAUCCAUCCGUUGAAACUGGGGAUCUAGAGUGUGCGAGAGGUAUGCGGAAUGCGUGGUGUAGCGGUGAAAUGCAUAGAUAUCACGCAGAACCCCGAUUGCGAAGGCAGCAUACCGGUGCACAACUGACGCUCAGGCACGAAAGCGUGGGUAUCGAACAGG